UACGAAGGGUGCAAGCGUUACUCGGAAUUACUGGGCGUAAAGCGUGCGUAGGUGGUUUGUUAAGUCUGUUGUGAAAGCCCCGAGCUCAACUUGGGAAUUGCAGUGGAUACUGGCGAGCUGGAGUGCGGUAGAGGAAGGUGGAAUUCCCGGUGUAGCGGUGAAAUGCGUAGAGAUCGGGAGGAACACCAGUGGCGAAGGCGGCCUUCUGGACCAGCACUGACACUCAAGCACGAAAGCGUGGGGAGCAAACAGG
rnacentral:rRNA from 1 species